UUUGAAUCAUGAUCCUUGGAUCUCAGCCUCCUGAAUAGCUAGAAUUACAGGCAGGAGCCACUGAUGCCCAGCAGGUCUCACUUUUAUGCCUGAGCCAGCCUGGACUAUGAUCCUCCUGUUUGUGAGUCAUUGCAUUGCUGAGGUACAAAUGCCACUCAGUCAUUUUUACUUCUCUCAUAUCUUGGGAUGACAGGCACAUGCCACAGUGUCCAGCCACUGCUCAAGAUGUCAUCUACAGAAAUUCUUUUUGUCCAGGCUGGCCUCAAACUAUGAUUUCCCAUCUGUGCCACAGACGUAGUUACAAUUCCAGGCUCAGACCACCACAGCUGACUAAGAAACCCCAUUUGUGUCCAAGGAUACUUGUGUCUUCCACAACUAGCUAUAACAAUGACAGAGUUAAGAAACUGUCCCAUCGCUGGGCCCUGGUGGCUUACACCUAUAAUCCUAGC